CUACGGGAGGCAGCAGUAGGGAAUCUUCCACAAUGGACGCAAGUCUGAUGGAGCAACGCCGCGUGAGUGAAGAAGGUUUUCGGAUCGUAAAGCUCUGUUGUUGGUGAAGAAGGAUAGAGGUAGUAACUGGCCUUUAUUUGACGGUAAUCAACCAGAAAGUCACGGCUAACUACGUGCCAGCAGCCGCGGUAAUACGUAGGUGGCAAGCGUUGUCCGGAUUUAUUGGGCGUAAAGCGAGCGCAGGCGGAAAAAUAAGUCUAAUGUGAAAGCCCUCGGCUUAACCGAGGAACUGCAUCGGAAACUGUUUUUCUUGAGUGCAGAAGAGGAGAGUGGAACUCCAUGUGUAGCGGUGGAAUGCGUAGAUAUAUGGAAGAACACCAGUGGCGAAGGCGGCUCUCUGGUCUGCAACUGACGCUGAGGCUCGAAAGCAUGGGUAGCGAACAGGAUUAGAUACCCUGGUAGUCCAUGCCGUAAACGAUGAGUGCUAAGUGUUGGGAGGUUUCCGCCUCUCAGUGCUGCAGCUAACGCAUUAAGCACUCCGCCUGGGGAGUACGACCGCAAGGUUGAAACUCAAAGGAAUUGACGGGGGCCCGCACAAGCGGUGGAGCAUGUGGUUUAAUUCGAAGCAACGCGAAGAACCUUACCAGGUCUUGACAUCUAGUGCAAUCUGUAGAGAUACGGAGUUCCCUUCGGGGACGCUAAGACAGGUGGUGCAUGGCUGUCGUCAGCUCGUGUCGUGAGAUGUUGGGUUAAGUCCCGCAACGAGCGCAACCCUUGUUAUUAGUUGCCAGCAUUAAGUUGGGCACUCUAAUGAGACUGCCGGUGACAAACCGGAGGAAGGUGGGGAUGACGUCAAGUCAUCAUGCCCCUUAUGACCUGGGCUACACACGUGCUACAAUGGGCAGUACAACGAGAAGCAAGCCUGCGAAGGCAAGCGAAUCUCUGAAAGCUGUUCUCAGUUCGGACUGCAGUCUGCAACUCGACUGCACGAAGCUGGAAUCGCUAGUAAUCGCGGAUCAGCACGCCGCGGUGAAUACGUUCCCGGGCCUUGUACACACCGCCCGUCACACCAUGGGAGUCUGCAAUGCCCAAAGCCGGUGGCCUAACCUUCGGGAAGGAGCCGUCUAA
rnacentral:rRNA from 1 species